GACGAACGCUGGCGGCGUGCUUAACACAUGCAAGUCGAACGGUAAGGCCCUUCGGGGUACACGAGUGGCGAACGGGUGAGUAACACGUGGGUGAUCUGCCCUGCACUUCGGGAUAAGCCUGGGAAACUGGGUCUAAUACCGGAUAGGACCACUGCCUGCAUGGGUGGUGGUGGAAAGCUUUUGCGGUGUGGGAUGGGCCCGCGGCCUAUCGGCUUGUUGGUGGGGUGAUGGCCUACCAAGGCGACGACGGGUAGCCGGCCUGAGAGGGUGACCGGCCACACUGGGACUGAGAUACGGCCCAGACUCCUACGGGAGGCAGCAGUGGGGAAUAUUGCACAAUGGGCGCAAGCCUGAUGCAGCGACGCCGCGUGAGGGAUGACGGCCUUCGGGUUGUAAACCUCUUUCAGCACCGACGAAGCGCAAGUGACGGUAGGUGCAGAAGAAGGACCGGCCAACUACGUGCCAGCAGCCACAGUAA
rnacentral:rRNA from 1 species